UGUCUGGAUUGAUUGUUCAUUUACAGAGUAUACAUAAUGUAAAUAUUGAGACAAAAUUGCUACAUUUUGAAAAUAUAGAAGGUAAACUAAUUUAUUACUACAUUGUUGGUGUUGUAUGUAUGUGCUCUGACAAUAUCGUACUUCGUAAUUUUGUUAUUUGUGUCUAAUAUUGUUUAAUUCUGCCUAGGAUAACGAUAUAAGUACCUGGAGAAAUGUUGUGUUUUUUGUUUUAUUGUGAAACUGUCGAUGACCGGAUGACUGGAUCAGUUUAUCAGUAUAAAGUAUUCAUUAUGUGAACGUUAAUUUUUUUUUACUUUAUCAUAUUUUGAAUCUGUAUGUACUAUUUACCAAGGCUGGGCAAAUUAAUGAUUUUUGUAACUGCAAUUAAUUAAAAUCAUUGAAUAUGGGGAGAAUAUCUAUUGGUCAGUUAUACAUUUUGGUUACAAUUAUAAUAUACAACUCUGACAUAAUAUAAUUUUCUUAACUUUAUAAAGAACAUUGUAGCUUGAUGUAAAAUUUACCAACCAGUAAAAUAGAUCUAAGCGUUUACAUUUUUUAUGAAGUGUUUUGUGAAGUGCCUCUAAGUACAUAUUUGUAUUAAUACUGACGUGUUUUCUACACAAGCAAGUCUGAUUCCUAUCCAUGUUUACUUGUAGCUCAAUUAUUAAUUUUAAAUAUUUGUUUUAUCUUCCUGUGUACUAAACACAAUGUUUUAUUUGUGAAUUUUUUGAAAAUUGACCUCCAAGUUUACUUGCUGACAUUGUAAAGAUUUUAAUGCAUGGAAAAGAACUAUCGAGGAAAAAGAAUUUUGUCAAUUUGUAAAAACUACUUCAAUCAAAAAAUCAACCGAUAAAGAAUAUAUGUACUUUUUUUGCCAUAGAUCAUUUAGUCAAAGAACUACUAGAAAAGGCCAUCGAUCUACAAAAAGUUGUGGUACAGUAAAAAUUGGCCAUGCAUGCCCAUCUAAUAUAAAAGUACACUUACAAAAUUCCAAACU